GAUGAACGCUGGCGGCGUGCUUAACACAUGCCAGUCGAACGGGAAUUAUUUUAUUGUUACUUCGGUCGAUAUGCUUUAAUUCUAUUGGCGGCCGGGUGAGUAACUCCUGGGUAACCUGCCUUGUCCAGGGGGAUAACACUCAGAAAUGGCUGCUAAUACCGCAUAAGCGCACAUAGCUGCAUGGCUCCGUGUGAAAAACUACGGUGGCAUAAGCUGGACCCGCGUUGGAUUAGCUUGGUGGCAGGGGAACGGCCUCCCAAGGCGACGAUCCAUAGCCGGCCUGAGAGGGUGAACCGCAACAUUGGGACUGAGACACGGCCCAGACUCCUACGGGAGGCAGCAGUGGGGAAUAGUGCAAAAUGGGGGAAACCCUGAUGCAGCGAAGACGGGUGAAGGAAGAAGUAUCUCGGUAUGUAAACUUCUAGCAGCAGGGAAGAGAUUGACGGUACCUGACGAAGAAGCCCCGGCUAACUACGUG
rnacentral:rRNA from 1 species